rnacentral:rRNA from 1 species
GGGGGAUAUUGCGCAAUGGGGGAAACCCUGACGCAGCAACGCCGCGUGAAGGAAGAAGGUCUUCGGAUUGUAAACUUCUUUUGUCAGGGACGAAGAAAGUGACGGUACCUGACGAAUAAGCUCCGGCUAACUACGUGCCAGCAGCCGCGGUAAUACGUAGGGAGCGAGCGUUGUCCGGAUUUACUGGGUGUAAAGGGUGCGUAGGCGGCCGAGCAAGUCAGUUGUGAAAACUAUGGGCUUAACCCAUAACGUGCAAUUGAAACUGUCCGGCUUGAGUGAAGUAGAGGUAGGCGGAAUUCCCGGUGUAGCGGUGAAAUGCGUAGAGAUCGGGAGGAACACCAGUGGCGAAGGCGGUCUACUGGGCACCAACUGACGCUGAGGCUCGAAAGCAUGGGUAGCAAACAGGAUUAGAUACCCUGGUAGUCCAUGCCGUAAACGAUGAUUACUAGGUGUUGGGGGAUUGACCCCCUCAGUGCCGCAGUUAACACAAUAAGUAAUCCACCUGGGGAGUACGACCGCAAGGUUGAAACUCAAAGGAAUUGACGGGGGCCCGCACAAGCAGUGGAGUAUGUGGUUUAAUUCGAAGCAACGCGAAGAACCUUACCAGGUCUUGACAUCCGAUGCAUAGCACAGAGAUGUGUGAAAUCCUUCGGGACAUCGAGACAGGUGGUGCAUGGUUGUCGUCAGCUCGUGUCGUGAGAUGUUGGGUUAAGUCCCGCAACGAGCGCAACCCUUAUUGCCAGUUACUACGUUAAGAGGACUCUGGCGAGACUGCCGUUGACAAAACGGAGGAAGGUGGGGAUGACGUCAAAUCAUCAUGCCCUUUAUGACCUGGGCUACACACGUACUACAAUGGCGUUAAACAAAGAGAAGCAAGACCGCGAGGUGGAGCAAAACUCAAAAACAACGUCUCAGUUCAGAUUGCAGGCUGCAACUCGCCUGCAUGAAGUCGGAAUUGCUAGUAAUCGCGGAUCAGCAUGCCGCGGUGAAUACGUUCCCG